rnacentral:ribozyme from 1 species
CCGUCAAAUGUACAACGGCAAAAAGAAAGAAAAAAAGGAAAGAAAAGAGAAAAAAAUGGAAAA